UGGUUGGCUUUAUUAGAUGUAGUUUUCUUUGGAGAGAGUGAAAGAGAGAGAGAGAGAGAGAGAGAGUAAAGUAAAAAAUCUAUCCGCUUCAUUUAUUUUGUAAAAAAUAGAGUCAACUAAAAAUGUAAAGUACUUAAAUUUUGAAUUUGAAACUUUGAAUACCAACCAUCGAGUAUUUAAUCAACUGCGUCAAGUAAUGGAGUUAAUUAAUUUUUACUAUUAGAGUCAAUUUGUUUCUCCGUGUCGGUGCAGAGCUAGUUUACUUCAUUGAUCUGUAAGCAUGGGCAAAGUCAAGAUUACGCAUAUGGUUAGUAGAGCUUGCGAUCUUCUUGCUUUUGUGACUUCGGUGAAGCAACUAGACCCUUAGGGGGCGUUUGAAUUGAUAAUGCGGCGAAUCAGCUAUAAAUCAAAUUUAUUAAGGCCCUAUUUAGAUGCUCCUAAAAACGUAGUAUAGUUAAAUUAUGUUAUACCGAUAGAAAAAUUAUUCUGUAAAGUCUUUAUGAGAAAAAAAAUAAUAACGUAUUUUUUUGGAGGAUAGUUAUACUAUACUUCAAAAAAAAUAAAGUAAAACUACAAUCCACUUUAACUAAAGGAAUAAUUUUAAUCUCAACCUACAUGUUAAAUUUCAAAUUUUAAAAUUAAUUUUAAUUUUAAAUUUUAAAUUUUAAAUUUUUUAAAUUUUAAAUUUUCUAAUUCUAUAAUUUCAAAUCAUAUUUUUCAAUAUCAAAUUUCAAUUUCCAAAUAUUAAAAUUUAAUUUUCAUUUUAAAUAUUAAUUUUCAAAUUUAAAAUUUCAAAAUUCAAAUUUAAAAUUUAAAAUUUCAAAGUUCAAAUUUUAAAAUUUAAAUUUCAAAAUUUAAAUAUGGAUUUUUUAUUUUAAUUUCAAAUUUUAAAGUUCAAAUUGUACGUUUUAAAUUUCAAAAUUUUUUAAAUUUUAAUUUUGAAACUUAAAUUUUAAAUUUAAGUUUAAAAUUUUAAAUCUAGGAUUUAGGUUUCAGAUUUCAUAUUUUUAAAUUCAAGUUUCAAAUUUCUAAUUUCAAAUUUAAAAAUUCAAAAUUCAAAUGUUUAAAUUUUAAAUUUAAAUUUUAAAAAUUUUAGAACUUUCAAUUGUUAUAAACCUUGUAGAAUUGUACGAUAUAUAUUCAAAUAGCUUAGAAAUGAAGCUGUAGGACUUUUUUAUAGUAACAGAAUUUCGUAUUUCAUUUAUACCAAAACUACAUAAUAAAUUACAUUGAGUGUUUUAACUAUGCAUCCAAACAGAGAAUAAGUGAUGUUUGGUUAGAUAUAAUUGUAGAUCUAAUGAGGUGGAGAAUGCACGAGUUAUAAUUACUUCCAUUUUAUUUAAUUAAAUGUAGCAAAGAAUAUUGUAACUAUAAAUAUAUAUUAUUUUAGUUGCUUGCAGUUGAGAAGCGUAUUUGUAAAUUUUUAAUUUGGUUAAAUAAGGAAAU
rnacentral:lncRNA from 1 species